rnacentral:sRNA from 2 species
GCCACGUUGAUUAAAUCAUAUCUUGUACUGGUGAGGCGGACAGGAGCCUGGUCGCACUAAGCAAAGCUGUACGAGGCCAAGUCAGGAAAUCUUCGCCGGCCAUGGAAAACCCGACAUGCAGACUGUUUUACUGAGUUAUUGAGCAUGGCGCUGUGUGGGCCCAUGGUAUGAGAGAAUCUCCAGGGUCGCUGUUUCUUAUGUUGUGCUCUUGUAGUUUCCGUUUCCAAUGGAGCGAUGGGUUGAACGUAAUGCGUAAGGUAUGCUUUCAGCAGUCAUGAUCUAUUUAUUUCCUGACGUUUGGAUGGGGGU